rnacentral:rRNA from 1 species
UACAGAGGUCUCAAGCGUUGUUCGGAUUCAUUGGGCGUAAAGGGUGCGUAGGCGGCGCGGUAAGUCGGGUGUGAAAUCUCGGAGCUUAACUCCGAAACUGCAUUCGAUACUGCCGUGCUUGAGGACUGGAGAGGAGAAUGGAAUUCCCGGUGUAGCGGUGAAAUGCGCAGAUAUCGGGAAGAACACCCGUGGCGAAGGCGGUUCUCUGGGACGGUACUGACGCUGGAGACGCGAAAGCGUGGGGAGCGAACAGG